AACACAUGCAAGUCGAACGAUGAAGAGAGCUUGCUCUUGGAUUAGUGGCGAACGGGUGAGUAACACGUGAGUAACCUGCCCUUGACUCUGGGAUAAGCACUGGAAACGGUGUCUAAUACCGGAUACGAGCUUCCACCGCAUGGUGAGGGGCUGGAAAGAAUUUUGGUCAAGGAUGGACUCGCGGCCUAUCAGCUAGUUGGUGAGGUAACGGCCCACCAAGGCGACGACGGGUAGCCGGCCUGAGAGGGUGACCGGCCACACUGGGACUGAGACACGGCCCAGACUCCUACGGGAGGCAGCAGUGGGGAAUAUUGCACAAUGGGCGAAAGCCUGAUGCAGCAACGCCGCGUGAGGGACGACGGCCUUCGGGUUGUAAACCUCUUUUAGUAGGGAAGAAGCGAAAGUGACGGUACCUGCAGAAAAAGCACCGGCUAACUACGUGCCAGCAGCCGCGGUAAUACGUAGGGUGCAAGCGUUGUCCGGAAUUAUUGGGCGUAAAGAGCUCGUAGGCGGUUUGUCGCGUCUGCUGUGAAAACCCGAGGCUCAACCUCGGGCCUGCAGUGGGUACGGGCAGACUAAAGUGCGGUAGGGGAGAUNGGAAUCCUGGUGUUCCGGUGGAAUGCGCANAUUUCAGAGGAACACCCNAUGGNCAAAGGCAGAUNCUCUGGGCCCGUAACUGACCCCUU
rnacentral:rRNA from 1 species